UACGGAGGGUGCGAGCGUUGUCCGGAAUCAUUGGGCGUAAAGGGCGCGUAGGUGGCUUCUUAAGCGUGCGGUGAAAGCCUGGGGCUCAACCCCGGGUCGGCCGUGCGAACUGGGGGGCUGGAGCACUGUAGAGGCAGGCGGAAUUCCAGGUGUAGCGGUGAAAUGCGUAGAUAUCUGGAGGAACACCGGUGGCGAAGGCGGCAUCCUGGACCAAUUCUGACGCUGAGGAGCGAAAGCCAGGGGAGCAAACGGG
rnacentral:rRNA from 1 species